GCUGACACCAGAUCAAGCAUUUCCUGGCUUUCCUGGGAGACUAGGAACCGGAGGUUCUCUGAGGACCUUCUGAGCUGCCACAGCACACUGGGACUACUGGACACCCAGUCUCAAGCACCAUGUAACUAAUGAGAGGACCUGAUUCGGUUCCCAGCACCCACAAUGGAUGCUCGCAAACUGCCUGUAACUACAGCUCUGGAUGAUCUAGCACCCUCUCCUGGCAUCUGCAGACAAAAAGUAACUUAAGGAAGGAAGGAUUUGUUUUGGCUCCUGGUUUGAAAGGCUGCAGUCCAGCAUGGGGGAAGGCACAGCAGCAGGAGGACAGCCUGCCAGUUACAUUGUAUCCAGUCGGAGAGAGAUGAAGGGCAGUGUUCCGCUUUCUCCCCCCACCCCAGCUGAUGCGAUGCUGCCGCCUAUAUUCGUGGUGAAUCUUCCCAUCUCAGACAAUCUUCUCUGAAAACACACACACUCAGACACACGCAGAGGUGUGUUUCCAUGGAAUUUGGCACCAAGGUAAAGACUUCAGUGUGGUCAGCAUCAACAGCAAGUGCGAUAGAAACGUCGUCUCUUCAUUUUUCUUCACAUUUCUGGAUCCCCUGAUGCUUUCAAGAACAUUAGGGACAUUCAGUCUCUCUGCUGUCACGUUUCCCUGAUGACUUUAAUUUUAGUUAACACAUCAUAUAAAAUCAGCUGAAC
rnacentral:lncRNA from 1 species